rnacentral:rRNA from 1 species
AGACGUCUACAUUAGACUACCCGGUAGUCCCAGCCGUAAACUAUGCGCGUUAGGUGUAUCGGUGACCACGAGUUACCGAGGUGCCGAAGGGAACCGUGAAACGUGCCGCCUGGGAAGUACGGUCGCAAGGCUGAAACUUAAAGGAAUUGGCGGGGAGCACCACAACAGGUGGAGCCUGCGGUUUAAUUGGACUCAACGCCGGGAAGCUCACCGGAUAGGACAGCAGAAUGAUUGCCGGGCUGAAGACCCUGCAUGACUAGCUG